GGCCAAGCUACUAAGGGCGUAUGGGGGAUGUCUUGGCAUCAGAAGGCGAUGAAGGGCGUGGAAGUCUGCGAAAAGCUCGGGGGAGUUGACAAACAAGUGAUGAUCCCGAGAUUCCCGAAUUAGCUCAUGGUGAAUCCAUAACCAUGAGUGGCCAACGUAGGGAACUGAAACAUCUAAGUACCUACUGGAAAAGAAAGAAAAAUCGAUUUCGUCAGUAGCGGCGAGCGAACGCGAAAUAGCCCAAACCGCGAAGGUUUCCUUUGCGGGGUUGUAGGGCCUUUCACAUGAGAGUUACAAAAUCACUAGUUAGCAGAACCUUUUGGAAAAUUGGACCGCAGAGGGUGACAGUCCCGUAAGCGUCAAUUAGUGAUCUCUCGAAGGGUACCUGAGUAGGUCGGGUCACGUGGAACCCCGACUGAAUCUACGAGGACCAUCUCGUAAGGCUAAAUACUCCCUGAU
rnacentral:ncRNA from 1 species